rnacentral:lncRNA from 1 species
ACCCAGCCAGGAUGAAGACUUCUCCACCCACCCACUGCACUCCCUUAGUCUUCCCAGGUUACUGACUCUACCCCUCCCCUCAGCGAGGCCACUUCUAGUUAUGGAUAAAAUUGCAUACUAAAGUAGGUAGGGUGGGUACUCAGAUAGUCCCGUACAACACCUAUACAAACACUGUCUCAAUUCAUAAAUGAACCACUGAGGGACAAGAUGCCAUGUGACCAGCUAUUCAAGUUCCUGGUGCCCAGACUUCCUUUCAUGAUCAACCGGACCUUGAACUAUGAGUGUACGUAAAUGACUCUUGAAA